AGUGAACGCUGGCGGUAGGCCUAACACAUGCAAGUCGAACGGCAGCACAGGAGAGCUUGCUCUCUGGGUGGCGAGUGGCGGACGGGUGAGGAAUACAUUGGAAUCUACCUUUUCGUGGGGGAUAACGUAGGGAAACUUACGCUAAUACCGCAUACGACCUUCGGGUGAAAGCAGGGGACCUUCGGGCCUUGCGCGGAUAGAUGAGCCGAUGUCGGAUUAGCUAGUUGGCGAGGUAAAGGCCCACCAAGGCGACGAUCCGUAGCUGGUCUGAGAGGAUGAUCAGCCACACUGGAACUGAGACACGGUCCAGACUCCUACGGGAGGCAGCAGUGGGGAAUAUUGGACAAUGGGCGCAAGCCUGAUCCAGCCAUACCGCGUGGGUGAAGAAGGCCUUCGGGUUGUAAAGCCCUUUUGUUGGGAAAGAAAAGCAGUCGGUUAAUACCCGGUUGUUCUGACGGUACCCAAAGAAUAAGCACCGGCUAACUUCGUG
rnacentral:rRNA from 1 species